rnacentral:sRNA from 1 species
GCAGGGCGCGGUGGCGCAUGCCUGUAAUCCCAGUGGCUUGGGAGGCUGAGGCAGGAGGAUUGUGAGUUCAAACCCAGCCUCAGCAAUAGCAAGGCUAAGCAAUCCAGCAAACCCUGUCUCUA